rnacentral:rRNA from 1 species
CUCAGGAUGAACGCUAGCUACAGGCUUAACACAUGCAAGUCGAGGGGCAGCAUGGUCUUAGCUUGCUAAGGCCGAUGGCGACCGGCGCACGGGUGAGUAACACGUAUCCAACCUGCCGUCUACUCUUGGACAGCCUUCUGAAAGGAAGAUUAAUACAAGAUGGCAUCAUGAGUCCGCAUGUUCACAUGAUUAAAGGUAUUCCGGUAGACGAUGGGGAUGCGUUCCAUUAGAUAGUAGGCGGGGUAACGGCCCACCUAGUCUUCGAUGGAUAGGGGUUCUGAGAGGAAGGUCCCCCACAUUGGAACUGAGACACGGUCCAAACUCCUACGGGAGGCAGCAGUGAGGAAUAUUGGUCAAUGGGCGAGAGCCUGAACCAGCCAAGUAGCGUGAAGGAUGACUGCCCUAUGGGUUGUAAACUUCUUUUAUAAAGGAAUAAAGUCGGGUAUGGAUACCCGUUUGCAUGUACUUUAUGAAUAAGGAUCGGCUAACUCCGUGCCAGCAGCCGCGGUAAUACGGAGGAUCCGAGCGUUAUCCGGAUUUAUUGGGUUUAAAGGGAGCGUAGAUGGAUGUUUAAGUCAGUUGUGAAAGUUUGCGGCUCAACCGUAAAAUUGCAGUUGAUACUGGAUAUCUUGAGUGCAGUUGAGGCAGGCGGAAUUCGUGGUGUAGCGGUGAAAUGCUUAGAUAUCACGAAGAACUCCGAUUGCGAAGGCAGCCUGCUAAGCUGCAACUGACAUUGAGGCUCGAAAGUGUGGGUAUCAAACAGGAUUAGAUACCCUGGUAGUCCACACGGUAAACGAUGAAUACUCGCUGUUUGCGAUAUACGGCAAGCGGCCAAGCGAAAGCGUUAAGUAUUCCACCUGGGGAGUACGCCGGCAACGGUGAAACUCAAAGGAAUUGACGGGGGCCCGCACAAGCGGAGGAACAUGUGGUUUAAUUCGAUGAUACGCGAGGAACCUUACCCGGGCUUAAAUUGCAGAUGAAUUACGGUGAAAGCCGUAAGCCGCAAGGCAUCUGUGAAGGUGCUGCAUGGUUGUCGUCAGCUCGUGCCGUGAGGUGUCGGCUUAAGUGCCAUAACGAGCGCAACCCUUGUUGUCAGUUACUAACAGGUUCUGCUGAGGACUCUGACAAGACUGCCAUCGUAAGAUGUGAGGAAGGUGGGGAUGACGUCAAAUCAGCACGGCCCUUACGUCCGGGGCUACACACGUGUUACAAUGGGGGGUACAGAGGGCCGCUACCACGCGAGUGGAUGCCAAUCCCAAAAACCUCUCUCAGUUCGGACUGGAGUCUGCAACCCGACUCCACGAAGCUGGAUUCGCUAGUAAUCGCGCAUCAGCCACGGCGCGGUGAAUACGUUCCCGGGCCUUGUACACACCGCCCGUCAAGCCAUGGGAGCCGGGGGUACCUGAAGUGCGUAACCGCGAGGAGCGCCCUAGGGCAAAACU